AAUCAUACCGUCAAACAGAGCGCCAGCGCUAUGAGCGCUAUAGCGCUGGCGCACUGUUUGACGGUAUGUUACCGU